rnacentral:rRNA from 1 species
AGAGUUUGAUCCUGGCUCAGAACGAACGCUGGCGGCGUGGAUAAGACAUGCAAGUCGAGCGAGAUUUUUCGUUGUAGCAAUACGAUGGAAAGUCUAGCGGCGAACGGGUGCUUAACACGUGGGCAACCUGCCAUGAAGUGGGGGAUAGCUCGCCGAAAGGCGAAUUAAUACCGCAUGUGAUUAGAGAGGACAUCCUUUCAAAAUUAAAGUCGGGGCAACCUGACGCUUCUUGUGGGGCCCGCGGCCUAUCAGCUAGUUGGUGAGGUAACGGCUCACCAAGGCUUUGACGGGUAGCUGGUCUGAGAGGACGACCAGCCACACUGGGACUGAGACACGGCCCAGACACCUACGGGUGGCAGCAGUCGAGAAUUUUUGACAAUGGGGGAAACCCUGAUCGAGCGACGCCGCGUGGAGGAUGAAGGUCUUCGGAUUGUAAACUCCUGUCAUUUGGGAACAAGGCGCGUGUAUUAACUGUGCACGCGUUGAUAGUACCAGAAGAGGAAGGGACGGCUAACUCUGUGCCAGCAGCCGCGGUAAUACAGAGGUCUCAAGCGUUGUUCGGAUUCAUUGGGCGUAAAGGGUGCGUAGGCGGCGCGGUAAGUCGGGUGUGAAAUCUCGGAGCUUAACUCCGAAACUGCAUUCGAUACUGCCGUGCUUGAGGACUGGAGAGGAGACUGGAAUUUACGGUGUAGCGGUGAAAUGCGUAGAUAUCGUAAGGAAGACCAGUGGCGAAGGCGGGUCUCUGGACAGUUCCUGACGCUGAGGCACGAAGGCCAGGGGAGCAAACGGGAUUAGAUACCCUAGUAGUCC